rnacentral:rRNA from 1 species
UGAACGCUGGCGGCGUGCCUAAUACAUGCAAGUCGAGCGAACGGACGAGAAGCUUGCUUCUCUGAUGUUAGCGGCGGGCGGGUGAGUAACACGUGGAUAACCUACCUAUAAGACUGGGAUAACUUCGGGAAACCGGAGCUAAUACCGGAUGAUAUUUUGAACCGCAUGGUUCAAAAGUGAAAGACGGUCUUGCUGUCACUUAUAGAUGGAUCCGCGCUGCAUUAGCUAGUUGGUAAGGUAACGGCUUACCAAGGCAACGAUGCAUAGCCGACCUGAGAGGGUGAUCGGCCACACUGGAACUGAGACACGGUCCAGACUCCUACGGGAGGCAGCAGUAGGGAAUCUUCCGCAAUGGGCGAAAGCCUGACGGAGCAACGCCGCGUGAGUGAUGAAGGUCUUCGGAUCGUAAAACUCUGUUAUUAGGGAAGAACAUAUGUGUAAGUAACUGUGCACAUCUUGACGGUACCUAAUCAGAAAGCCACGGCUAACUACGUG